rnacentral:tRNA from 1 species
GAAUAGCUCAGUUGGUAGAGCACGACCUUGCCAAGGUCGGGGUCGCGAGUUCGAGCCUCGUUUCCCG